UACGUAGGGGGCAAGCGUUGUCCGGAAUCAUUGGGCGUAAAGAGCGCGUAGGCGGUCCAGUAAGUCCGCUCUGAAAGUCCGGGGCUCAACCCCGGGAGGCGGGCGGAUACUGCUGGGCUAGAGUCCGGAAGAGGCGAGUGGAAUUCCUGGUGUAGCGGUGAAAUGCGCAGAUAUCAGGAGGAACACCAAUGGCGAAGGCAGCUCGCUGGGCCGACACUGACACUGAGAGACGAAAGCUAGGGGAGCGAAUGGG
rnacentral:rRNA from 1 species